GUGCCAGCAGCCGCGGUAAUACGUAGGGUACUAGCGUUGUCCGGAAUUACUGGGCGUAAAGAGCUCGUAGGUGGUUUGUCGCGUCGUCUGUGAAAUUCCGGGGCUUAACUUCGGGCGUGCAGGCGAUACGGGCAUAACUAGAGUGCUGUAGGGGAGACUGGAAUUCCUGGUGUAGCGGUGAAAUGCGCAGAUAUCAGGAGGAACACCGAUGGCGAAGGCAGGUCUCUGGGCAGUAACUGACGCUGAGGAGCGAAAGCAUGGGUAGCGAACAGGAUUAGAUACCCUGGUAGUCCAUGCCGUAAACGGUGGGCGCUAGGUGUGAGGGUCUUUUCACGACUUUCGUGCCGUAGCUAACGCAUUAAGCGCCCCGCCUGGGGAGUACGGCCGCAAGGCUAAAACUCAAAGGAAUUGACGGGGGCCCGCACAAGCGGCGGAGCAUGUGGGUUAAUUCGAUGCAACGCGAAGAACCUUACCUGGGCUUGACAUACACUGGAUCGCUGCAGAGAUGUAGUUUCCCUUUGCGGUUGGUGUACAGGUGGUGCAUGGUUGUCGUCAGCUCGUGUCGUGAGAUGUUGGGUUAAGUCCCGCAACGAGCGCAACCCUUGUCUUAUGUUGCCAGCACGUUAUGGUGGGGACUCGUGAGAGACUGCCGGGGUUAACUCGGAGGAAGGUGGGGAUGACGUCAAAUCAUCAUGCCCCUUAUGUCCAGGGCUUCACACAUGCUACAAUGGUCGGUACAACGCGUCUGCGAGCCUGUGAGGGUGAGCUAAUCGCUGUAAAGCCGGUCGUAGUUCGGAUUGGGGUCUGCAACUCGACCCCAUGAAGUCGGAGUCGCUAGUAAUCGCAGAUCAGCAACGCUGCGGUGAAUACGUUCCCGGGCCUUGUACACACCGCCCGUCACGUCAUGAAAGUUGGUAACACCCGAAGCCAGUGGCCUGUCAUGGGAGCUGUCGAAGGUGGGAUCGGCGAUUGGGACGAAGUCGUAACAAGGUA
rnacentral:rRNA from 1 species